GACGAACGCUGGCGGCGUGCCUAAUACAUGCAAGUUGAGCGCUGAAGGUUGGUACUUGUACCAACUGGAUGAGCAGCGAACGGGUGAGUAACGCGUGGGGAAUCUGCCUUUGAGCGGGGGACAACAUUUGGAAACGAAUGCUAAUACCGCAUAAAAACUUUAAACACAAGUUUUAAGUUUGAAAGAUGCAAUUGCAUCACUCAAAGAUGAUCCCGCGUUGUAUUAGCUAGUUGGUGAGGUAAAGGCUCACCAAGGCGAUGAUACAUAGCCGACCUGAGAGGGUGAUCGGCCACAUUGGGACUGAGACACGUCCCAAACUCCUACGGGAGGCAGCAGUAGGGAAUCUUCGGCAAUGGACGAAAGUCUGACCGAGCAACGCCGCGUGAGUGAAGAAGGUUUUCGGAUCGUAAAACUCUGUUGGUAGAGAAGAACGUUGGUGAGAGUGGAAAGCUCAUCAAGUGACGGUAACUACCCAGAAAGGGACGGCUAACUACGUG
rnacentral:rRNA from 1 species